UACGGAGGGUGCAAGCGUUGUCCGGAAUUAUUGGGCGUAAAGAGCUCGUAGGCGGUCUGUUGCGUCCGCUGUGAAAACUCGGGGCUUAACUCCGGGCCUGCAGUGGGUACGGGCAGACUAGAGUGCGGUAGGGGAGACUGGAAUUCCUGGUGUAGCGGUGAAAUGCGCAGAUAUCAGGAGGAACACCGGUGGCGAAGGCGGGUCUCUGGGCCGAAACUGACGCUGAGGAGCGAAAGCGUGGGGAGCGAACAGG
rnacentral:rRNA from 1 species